rnacentral:rRNA from 1 species
GUUGUAUAGUCAAGUAAUUAAGUGCAUGUGGUGGAUGCCUUGGCAGUCAGAGGCGAUGAAAGACGUGAUAGCCUGCGAAAAGCUCCGGGGAGGCGGCAAAUAUCCUUUGAUCCGGAGAUGUCUGAAUGGGGGAACCCACCUACUUUAAGGUAGGUAUUGCAACAUGAAUACAUAGUGUUGCAAGGCGAACGAGGGGAAGUGAAACAUCUCAGUACCCUUAGGAAAAGAAAUCAAUUGAGAUUCCCUCAGUAGCGGCGAGCGAACGGGGAUCAGCCCAUUAAGUUAUGUGUGUUUUAGUGGAACGCUCUGGGAAGUGCGAACGUAGAGGGUGAUAUUCCCGUACACGAAAGGGCACACAUAAUGAUGACGAGUAGGGCGAGGCACGUGAAACCUUGUCUGAAUAUGGGGGGACCAUCCUCCAAGGCUAAAUACUCCUGACUGACCGAUAGUGAACCAGUACCGUGAGGGAAAGGCGAAAAGAACCCCUGUGAGGGGAGUGAAAUAGAUCCUGAAACCGCAUGCAUACAAGCAGUGGGAGCACCUUCGUGGUGUGACUGCGUACCUUUUGUAUAAUGGGUCAGCGACUUAUAUUCAGUAGCGAGGUUAACCGUAUAGGGGAGCCGUAGAGAAAUCGAGUCUUAAUAGGGCGUUUAGUUGCUGGGUAUAGACCCGAAACCAGGCGAUCUAUCCAUGAGCAGGUUGAAGGUUGGGUAACACUAACUGGAGGACCGAACCCACUGUCGUUGAAAAGCCAGGGGAUGACUUGUGGAUAGGGGUGAAAGGCUAAUCAAGCCUGGUGAUAGCUGGUUCUCCCCGAAAGCUAUUUAGGUAGCGCCUCGGACGAAUACCAUAGGGGGUAGAGCACUGUUUCGGCUAGGGGGUCAUCCCGACUUACCAAACCGAUGCAAACUCCGAAUACCUAUGAGUACUAUCCGGGAGACAGACUGCGGGUGCUAACGUCCGUAGUCAAGAGGAAAACAAUCCAGACCGCCAGCUAAGGCCCCAAAAUCAUAGUUAAGUGGGAAACGAUGUGGGAAGGCAUAGACAGCUAGGAGGUUGGCUUAGAAGCAGCCACCCUUUAAAGAAAGCGUAAUAGCUCACUAGUCGAGUCGGCCUGCGCGGAAGAUGUAACGGGGCUAAAACUAUGUGCCGAAGCUGCGGAUGUAUACUUUGUAUACGUGGUAGGGGAGCGUUCUGUAAGCCGAUGAAGGUGUGUUGAGAAGCAUGCUGGAGGUAUCAGAAGUGCGAAUGCUGACGUGAGUAACGACAAAACGGGUGAAAAACCCGUUCGCCGAAAGACCAAGGGUUCCAGUCCAACGUUAAUCGGGGCUGGGUGAGUCGACCCCUAAGGCGAGGCCGAAAGGCGUAGUCGAUGGGAAAAUGGUUAAUAUUCCAUUACUUCUGUGUAAUGCGAUGAGAGGACGGAGAAGGCUAAAUCAGCCUGGCGUUGGUUGUCCAGGUGAAAGGAUGUAGGCAUGUAUCUUAGGCAAAUCCGGGGUACUCUAUGCUGAGAUCUGAUAGCAAGCUGUACUUGUACAGCGAAGUGGUUGAUGCCAUGCUUCCAGGAAAAGUCUCUAAGCUUCAGUUACACAGGAAUCGUACCCGAAACCGACACAGGUGGUCAGGUCGAGUAGACCAAGGCGCUUGAGAGAACUCUGCUGAAGGAACUAGGCAAAAUGGUACCGUAACUUCGGGAGAAGGUACGCUGUUGUUGGUGAUGGAACUCGCUUCCUGAGCUGACGACAGCCGCAGAAACCAGGCCGCUGCAACUGUUUAUUAAAAACAUAGCACUCUGCAAACACGAAAGUGGACGUAUAGGGUGUGAUGCCUGCCCGGUGCUGGAAGGUUAAUUGAUGGGGUUAGCGUAAGCGAAGCUCUUGAUCGAAGCCCCA